rnacentral:rRNA from 1 species
UGCGUAGGCGGCCCAGAAAGUUGGGUGUGAAAGCCCUCGGCUCAACCGAGGAAUGGCGCCCAAAACUACUGGGCUUGAGGAAGACAGAGGUGAGCGGAACUUAGGGUGGAGCGGUGAAAUGCGUUGAUAUCCUAAGGAACACCAGUGGCGAAAGCGGCUCACUGGGUCUUUUCUGACGCUGAGGCACGAAAGCUAGGGGAGCGAAGAGGAUUAGAUACCCUCGUAGUCCUAGCUGUAAACGAUGAGCACUUGUUCGGAGGAUCUCCCAUAGUCUUCUGGACGUAGCGAAAGUGUUAAGUGCUCCGCCUGGGGAGUAUGGUCGCAAGGCUGAA